GGGCGUGUAGCUCAGUGGUAGAGCGCCCGCUUUGCAUCUUGCAGAGCUGCGGGAGGUCUAGGGUUCGAUCCCCUACCCGUCCA
rnacentral:tRNA from 1 species